AUGGAGUCUGGAUACAUCAACAUCGCAGAAACCGAGUUCAUUUGCGAUGCAGCCCCUUUCACGGCGAUGCCCUUAGCCCACUCGGAGGCUUUCCUAGCAGACCUGUUGGAUGGAGUGUGUGAGCGGAUGAACGACUACAAGCUAGAAGAAGACCCUGUGACCAAGAAGAAGGCGUUUAAGAGAUUUGCUCCAAGGAAAGGAGACAAAAUAUACAAAGAAUUUAAAAAAUUCUAUUUUUAUUCUGAUGCUUACAGACCUUUGAAAUUUGCGUGCGAAGCCAUAAUAGAGGAGCAUGAAGACGAAAUAUCCUCACUUAUCGCCCAGGAGGCACACCACCUCGCUGACAAGCUGUGCAGUGAAAAAGCAGACCUCUGUGAAACCUCUGCUAACCAAACUGAGCUUUAGGAUGCCAGUUCUACCAGUUAGUGAGGAGGAAAGCCACAGCUCCACAGGUCAACAUCUGUUUCAUAUCUUCAUUUCUUCAUGCAAAGAAAGUUUAUAUCUCUUGUUUAUGCCAUGUUGUCUCAAGUGUGACUUUUUAUUGAAAAUCUGUUGUUUGGCAUCAUGACAAACUUGGUUCUUUCUAUAGGGGAGGCUGAGGAGUGCAUAAAACAAAUUACCUUUGUGGAUUUGGGUACUGACAGGUUUGGGAGUAAAUAAUUUAAUUUUAUAAUAAGAAAAAAGUGAAGCUAUUUCAUAAAUGAAAUAAGGGUUUGAUAAUGCAUACUGUAUAUUUUAUCCACGUCUACAAGUAUCAUGUUCUAUUUGAUAAGAACUUGAUUUGAUUUCUUGAAUACUUGAUUGGUCAUGAAAUCAAGAAAAUAUAUUGCCACAAAUUCCAGAUUAUGUAUACUUCUGGGUUAUAUAUGAUGAUCAAUAAAAGAAACCAACUUACUUUAUAUCA
rnacentral:lncRNA from 12 species